UUUAUUGGAGAGUUUGAUCCUGGCUCAGGAUGAACGCUGGCGGCGUGCCUAAUACAUGCAAGUCGAGCGAAUGGAUUAAGAGCUUGCUCUUAUGAAGUUAGCGGCGGACGGGUGAGUAACACGUGGGUAACCUGCCCAUAAGACUGGGAUAACUCCGGGAAACCGGGGCUAAUACCGGAUAACAUUUUGAACCGCAUGGUUCGAAAUUGAAAGG
rnacentral:rRNA from 1 species